GAAAUGCGAUAAGUAGUGUGAAUUGCAGAAUUCAGUGAAUCAUCGAAUCUUUGAACGCACAUUGCACAGCUUGGUUAUUCCUUGCUGUAUAUCUGUUCGAGCGCCGUUUUAGCGUAAAGCAAUGCUUUGUGUUGAGCUUCAAGGCUUCAAAACCUUGAGCUUCAAAUCUUCAUGCCUAGGUCAAUCUCAAGGAAGCAGUGAAAGUGCUGAACUGUAGAUUCUGACUACGGCAAGUAGACGAACGCAUGGCCUCGGAUCAGAUAAGGCUACCCGCUGAACUUAA
rnacentral:misc_RNA from 1 species